UACAGAGGUCUCGAGCGUUAGGCGGAAUCACUGGGCUUAAAGCGUGUGUAGGCGGAUCGUUAAGUGCCUUGUGAAAUCCCACGGCUCAACCGUGGAACUGCUUGGCAUACUGGCGGUCUUGAGCAACCUAGGGGCGAGCGGAACAAAUGGUGGAGCGGUGAAAUGCGUAGAUAUCAUUUGGAACGCCAAUGGUGAAAACAGCUCGCUGGGGGUGUGCCGACGCUGAGACGCGAAAGCCAGGGGAGCAAACGGG
rnacentral:rRNA from 1 species